CCUACUAUAUAGCUAAAUAAGAAAACUUAACCAAAUAAUUUCAUAAUUAAUUGUGUAUAUAUCUAUAUCUAAAACAGGGGCACCUGGUAUAAACGGAUGGGUCUACGAGAGCCUUUCUAGGAAAUGUCACACUGAAACACCUUUUAGAGCCUGAUCUGCCUCAUAUGUGCUGAUGAAAUUACGGCUGUGAACUCUGAGGCUGGAGACAGGUAGCAGAGAAGACGGAACAGCCACUUGGGACCAGUGACUUCCAGGUCAUCUGUCUGAAUGGAAAUGAAUUAUGGAUGGAAAAGGAAUCAGAAAUGAUAUGGAAAUGCAUUUUAAAUCUUUGUCAUUAUGAAAACAACUGCAAAUCAUAGCUGCAGAGGCCAAGGAGAAAAGUGGCUGGCCUUCUCACACCACUUUCCCAAAUUAAUUUUUAUCUUUCUUUUAAAGAAUAAAUUCCACAGUAAAAUGAAGUUUAACUUGUCAGUUAAAUAGUAAGUUAUU